rfam:Triticum aestivum genome assembly, contig: Triticum_aestivum_CS42_TGACv1_scaffold_375070_5AL
CAAGUAUUCCCUCCGUUCGAAAUUACUUGUCGCAGAAAUGGAUGUAUCUAGAUAUAUUUUAGUUCUAAAUACAUUCAUUUUCGAGAAAAGUAAUUCCGAACAGAGGGAGUACUAU